UACCAGCACCCCGAGUGUUCGGGACGAUUAUUGGGCCUAAAGCAUCCGUAGCCGGUCCUGCAAGUCUUCCGUUAAAUCCAGCUGCUCAACAGAUGGGCUGCGGGGGAUACUACAGGGCUAGGAGGCGGGAGAGGCAAGCGGUACUUUAUGGGUAGGGGUAAAAUCCGUUGAUCCAUAGAAGACCACCAGUGGCGAAGGCGGCUUGCCAGAACGCGCUCGACGGUGAGGGAUGAAAGCUGGGGGAGCAAACCGG
rnacentral:rRNA from 1 species